CCUACGGGUGGCAGCAGUGAGGAAUAUUGGGCAAUGGACGGAAGUCUGAACCAGCCACGCCGCGUGCAGGAAGACGGCUCUAUGAGUUGUAAACUGCUUUUGUACAAGGGUAAACCUGAAUACGUGUAUUUAGCUGAAUGUACUGUACGAAUAAGGAUCGGCUAACUCCGGUCCAGCAGCCGCGGUAAUACGGAGGAUCCAAGCGUUAUCCGGAUUUAUUGGGUUUAAAGGGUGCGUAGGCGGAUUGGUAAGUUAGUUGUGAAAUGUCCGAGCUUAACUCGGGAACUGCCUGUGAUACUGGUGGUCUAGAGUAUAGGUGAGGUAGGCGGAAUGUAUGGUGUAGCGGUGAAAUGCUUAGAGAUCA
rnacentral:rRNA from 1 species